rnacentral:lncRNA from 1 species
UAAGAUUAAAAUAUGUAGAUUGAAAGGUGAAAAUUUUGACUGUCCUGUUAUGGAACUAAAUUCAGUACUUUAAACACCAUAAGAUGGCUUAUUUGCUUGAAAAAUUUGAUCACUUUGUUAGUUUUAAUAAAAUUCCAGCAAUAGUUAUUUGGAGAAAAUGCCCAUAUUUUGCUUGAUUGUAGUGCCACAUGUUAAAUCUUUGUACGGUAUUUGAGUUUUGAUGUUGAUGGUGUUAAAAUGACUCGAAAUCGUCCAUUUGAAUCCUUUUAAUCAUAUUUUCUAGCAAGCUUUCAUUUGGUGAAAACAGUCUUUUUUUUUUAUAUUACUGUUUCAGUGAGUUCUUUGGAUUAUUUAGUUUUGAUGAUUAUUAGAUUAGAAAAGAUUUCAGUGAGUUCUUCGAAUUAUUUAGUUUUGAUGAUUAUUAGAUUAGAAAAGGGUUUAGGACAUGAGCAAUGGAAACAUAGAUAUGAUUUGAAAAUUGGGAUGAUGUUUUGUUUGGGAGUACCAACCUUCGAAAGCUGAUUUGUUCUUCUUUUACAGCGUGGAUGGCCCUUGGUUGCUGGCUCCGGGAACUUGGGAAUUCGAAAGCUUCGAAUCCGAUUCGAAAGUUUCGGCUAGAAGAGUUUUGUAUUUUCUGUUUAUUUUGGCCAAUUUUCUUUUGUAAUGGGAUUGUGUAAUAUGAUUGGGGCGUAGUGGUAAUGGGGUGUAGAGAGAUUGCUUGUGGUGGGAUUGGGGUUGGUGUUUCUCGUUGUACUCGGUAGGUCCUCUCUUUUUAUUCCAUCCUCCCCCCUCUCGAAAGAAAUUCGAUGGUCCUUUUAAAUGAACAAAGGGGCUCCCACCUCCAUUAAAAACCAAUCACAAUUCAACACCCAUGCUCUGACUUAAAAGAGAGGUGGCAGCUCUCUGACUGAUUACAGUAACGGGCCUGAUAUCGGGCCGAAAAUCAGGCCUGAAAUUGGACCCGAAAAAGAUCAAAAAUUCGAUGUAAAGUAGAGUUACGUAAUAAAAAACUCAAGUACCCGGACAAAAUUUGGUUACUACAGUUGCCCCUCUUUGUAUUACUUUUGUUUAUAAUCAAAAGUAGUACAAAGAUAGGAACCAAAUUUUGAAAGGUUUUUCGAAUCUAUCCUCACGUUUGUUUUUUAUUUGUCUUUUAU